rnacentral:rRNA from 1 species
CGUUUAUUUGAUAGUACCUUACUACAUGGAUACCUGUGGUAAUUCUAGAGCUAAUACAUGCUGAAAACCUCGACUUCGGAAGGGGUGUAUUUAUUAGAUAAAAAACCAAUGCCCUUCGGGGCUCCUUGGUGAAUCAUAAUAACUUAACGAAUCGCAUGGCCUUGCGCCGGCGAUGGUUCAUUCAAAUUUCUGCCCUAUCAACUUUCGAUGGUAGGAUAGUGGCCUACCAUGGUGGCAACGGGUAACGGGGAAUUAGGGUUCGAUUCCGGAGAGGGAGCCUGAGAAACGGCUACCACAUCCAAGGAAGGCAGCAGGCGCGCAAAUUACCCAAUCCCGACACGGGGAGGUAGUGACAAUAAAUACUGAUACGGGGCUCUUUUGGGUCUCGUAAUUGGAAUGAGUACAAUCUAAAUCCCUUAACGAGGAACAAUUGGAGGGCAAGUCUGGUGCCAGCAGCCGCGGUAAUUCCAGCUCCAAUAGCGUAUAUUAAAGUUGUUGCAGUUAAAAAGCUCGUAGUUGAACCUUGGGUCUGGCUGGCCGGUCCGCCUCACCGCGAGUACUGGUCCGGCUGGACCUUUCCUUCUGGGGAAUCUCAUGGCCUUCACUGGCUGUGGGGGGAACCAGGACUUUUACUGUGAAAAAAUUAGAGUGUUCAAAGCAGGCCUUUGCUCGAAUACAUUAGCAUGGAAUAAUAGAAUAGGACGUGCGGUUCUAUUUUGUUGGUUUCUAGGACCGCCGUAAUGAUUAAUAGGGAUAGUCGGGGGCGUCAGUAUUCAGCUG